rnacentral:rRNA from 1 species
AUUGAACGCUGGCGGCAGGCCUAACACAUGCAAGUCGAGCGCGAAAGUUCUUCAGAAUGAGUAAAGCGGCGGACGGGUGAGUAAUACAUGGGAAUCUGCCUGGUAGUGGGGGACAACGUUUCGAAAGGAACGCUAAUACCGCAUACGCCCUACGGGGGAAAGGGGGGGAUCUUCGGACCUCUCGCUAUCAGAUGAGCCCA